UUAAUUGAAGCCAAAAAGAGGCAUUUCAUUGUUAAUGAAAAAAUUGAAUUAAUUUUUCCAAUUAAA
rnacentral:tRNA from 1 species